UGCGUAGGGUGCAAGCGUUACUCGGAAUUACUGGGCGUAAAGCGUGCGCAGGCGGUUGUGCAAGACAGGUGUGAAAGCCCCGGGCUCAACCUGGGAAUUGCAUUCGAGACUGCAUAGCUAGGGUGCGGAAGAGGGAAGCGGAAUUUCCGGUGUAGCGGUGAAAUGCGUAGAUAUCGGAAGGAACAUCAGUGGCGAAAGCGGCUUCCUGGUCCAGCACCGACGUUCAGGCACGAAAGCGUGGGGAGCAAACAGG
rnacentral:rRNA from 1 species